AGGCAUGAGCCACUGCACCCAGCCAGUUUUUCUAAUUUAUACAUAUAAAUUACUGCAAAAUAUUUCAAAUGAACUAGAAGAAGAUAGAAGAAAGACCAUAGAAAGGAUCAUUGAACUGACUGAUACUGAGGAAUGACAAAUAAAUAAAAUAUAAGGAAUAAAUAUGAGAACUCAAAUAUUGGGGUCAUUUGGUGAUGGUGGCAAUAACCGUACGUUUUCCAAAAUGCCUGAAGGUCACCACAAUAUCCACUAUAUACCCUUAGUAAUGUCAGAAAAGUCAGUGGUAAAUUUGAGAAAGAUUUUUGUAAAAAUAUAAUUGUAUUAGUUUGCUCUCACACUGCUAUAAAGAACUACAUGAGACUGGGUAAUGUAUGAAGAAAAGAGGUUUUGUUGAUUCACAGUUCUGCAGGCUUAAUAGGGAGCAUGACUGGGAGGCCUCAGGGAACUUACGAUCAUGGCAGAAGGUGAAGAGGAAGCAAGCACCUUCUUCCCAAGGCGACAGGAGACAAAGAGAACAAAGAGGGAUGUCCACACACUUUUAAACCAUCAGAUCUUGUAAGAACUCACUCACUAUCGUGAGAACAGCAAGGGGAAACCACCCCCAUGAUCCAAUGGCCUCCUACCAGGUCCCUCCCCAAACACUGGAGAUUACAAUUCAACAUGAUAUUUGAGUGGAGACACAGAGCCAAACCAUACCAAUAAUUUUAAAAAGAACUUUUAUAUUUUAUUUAAAAGAUAAACUACUCAGAAAAUUUGCCAAUUUAGAAAAUGCUUAUUUUCAGAGAAUUGUGGGUGGUCAAAGUCUUACACUCUUUGGAAUAAUUUAAGAAAGAGAUAAUAUAACACAGGUUUAUAGAACUGAAGAUUGGUUCUUGAUUAAGAAAGCACACUCUGGGCAAUAAUAUGCUUUAAAAAAUGUCCUUUGGAAUUUAGCAAAUAAUGAUUCGUUAGUUCAGUUGCUUAAAGCAUGAUAUAAAUGAAGCCAUGCAUUGUCUCAGGAUUAAGUUGCAUGAAAAAGGUGUGCUCGAUAACAAUCUAUACCUCUGUGUAGGCUAGCCACUCACAAAUGAGUACUAGGCCAAGCUUCAUUUUUCUUGUAGAACUCUUUGUAGUGGGUCAGGGCCAUCGUCCUUGUAUACUAAUGUAUUUGCUAUUAUUUUUUCUAUUACUUCUAUAUAAUUCAAAUUUUUACUUUAACCAAUCAUGGUUUUGAGUAAGUAUGUUUUUAAAAAUGUUUUUCAUACCUAUUCCAUUCAUGAGAUGGAGUUUGCCAGGAUAGACAAGACAUUUUAUUUGGAAAAUGAUGACUAUAUUUUAAAAUAAAUGGUAGUCAUACCCUUAAGUAUGCCUACCAAAGUUCUGAGUAGUCAACUUUAUGAGGCAUUUCAUUAAAAACCCUCACUUUAACGUAUAAGGCAUUUCUUUGCUUUUUCAAAGACUGAUUUGAAUUUUUCCUUCCAGAGCUUUCAGGAGAGAUCUACUAUGUGGUCAUUUUUGCAGUUUUAUAGUUGGUUCAGCUAAUCUAGUGUUGUGCUCUUUCCUUUAGCUCUUGGGUUGAUAGCUUAUGGCAGUGAUAGUCAAGUGUAUCACGCCGUGAAGUCAACUGUUUGAAAAAACACUGUGAAGUGGUUCGAUAUGGAUAUGAUGUCAUAAUCUUCUUUUUGAAGAUAAAGAAACUAAGACUAUAUCAUAAUGUUCUUCUUGAAGAUGAAGAAAUGAAGACUCUGUGAGAUAUAGCGAUUUGUUUUUGGUGGGGGCUUGGAGGAGGAGAGGCAGAGUUGUCUCUACUGUACUAGUGCUUUGGGAGGUCAUUCUUGCUUAGGAAUGUCUCCACUUCCUUUCCCCUCACCCCUAGCACAGCCUGAGUUUGGAGGGAGGGUAGAAGCAGGACUAUAAGUAAAAAUAAUAACUUAUUUACUUAUCAAUCAUCUAUCUGUGUGUGUAUGUGUAUAUGUAUAUAUGUGUGUGUAUGUGUGUGCGUGUGUAAAUAGCAGGCAUACCUAACUUUUCAGUAAAAUUCUGUUGAGAAGAGGAAUAGGUAAAUGAUGCUAAGGGUAAACACAGAGUCAAGAGAGAAGGUUUAGGAAAAUGAUAGUGUGUGAGCUAGUUAUUGAUAUCUCUGAAGAAAAGACCAUGAAUACUGUAGUGCAUUCUAGGAGAGCAAUAGUAUUAUGUUAUCUUAUAUCCUGUAAGAAAGAGCAUCCUAUGGAAAAGAUAGAAUAAUGUAGUUACUUUUAUGCUCAGAAUAAUUCACAUGUUCUUAGGUGAAUUCUAGGUCCCAGAGAUAUUUCUGCUGAUUCUGUAAACCUACCGUUUUCUCUUUAAGCGGUUAAAAAAAUUUCUCCCUCUUAAUCCCCCACUUCUCAUUUAUGUCUUCUUUUUAUUUGUGCAAAUAUUAUUUGAAUCAUUAUUUCUACCCUUUUUCUUGUUUUAGGUUUGUUUUGCCCUUCUUUUACUAGGUUCUUGCAGCAGGAGCUUAAAUUACUGAUUUAAGAUUUUUUUCUCUGUUCUAAUGCAUGCUUUUGGUGUAUAAAAUUCCAUUUUCAGCACUAUUUUGACUCUGCCUUGCAAAUUUGAUAUGUUUUAUUUUCUGUUUUUAUUCAGUUCAAUGUAUUUUCAAGAUUUUCCUUAAGAAUGACUCCUUGAGCCAUGGAUUAUUUAUAAAUAUGUUGUUUCAUUUCUAAGUGUUUUGAGAUAUGCUAACAAGGAUAUUGGUCUUUUUAAAAUUGAUCUCUUGCAUGAUUUCAUUGUGGUUGGAAAAUGUACUAUGUAUGGUUUCAAUUCUAAAUUUUUUGAGGUUUGUUUUAUGGCUCUGGAUAUAAUCUAUCUUGGUAUAUGUUCUGUGAGCACUUAAAUAGAAUGUGUUUGCUGUUGUUGGGUGGGGUUUUCUGUAAAUGUUGAUUAGAUCCUUUUGGUUAAUGGUGUUGUUGAAUUCUUUCACAUUCUUGUUGUUUUUCUGUGUAGUUCCAACAAUUAUUGAGAAAAGAAUGUUGAAAUCUACAAUUAUAAUUCUAAAUUUUUCUAUUUGUCCUUUCAGUUCUAUCAAAUUUUAUUUUACAUAUUUUGCUGCUCUGUUUUUUGGUUCAUACAUUUUUAUGAUUGGUGUGUCUUCACAUGGAUUGAUCCUUUUAUCGUUGUACAAUGUGCCUCUCUGUCUCUGGUGAUUUUCUUUGCUCUAAAGUCUAUUUGAUAUUAAUAUAGCUAUUCCUGUUUUCUUUUGAUUAAUGUUAUAUGAUAGGUCUUUUUCUGUUCUUUCACUUUUAACUAACUUAUAUUAUUGUAUUUCAAGUGAGUUUUUAUAGACAACAUAUGAUUGGUGGUAUUUUUUAAUCUACUCUGUCAAUAUCUUUCAAUUAGGUAUUUAGAUUAUUUACAUUUAGAGUAAUUAUUGAUAUUAGGAUUCAAGUCUGCUAUUUUAAUGCCUUAAUUAAAGCAGCCUUCAGGUGCUCCAGGGGUCUAUUCAUCACUACUUACAGAUUUAUAGGACUGUUAUCUGUAUUAAGUUCUAUGUACAACUUGGAAAUAGUAAUUGGACAGAGGAAGAGGAUAAUAAUGUUAAACACUUUUAGAAUAAAUUGUCUGCCAUAUUAUUUAUGAAUUGGGUGACAACUUUGUCCCAAUAUAUUUAUGUUUUAAUAUUGUUAAAUAAUGUUUUACUUUGGCCUACACAGAUUUGGAAGAAAUGUCUCUUAAGAAGCUAAUUAAAUAAUUUAUUGUACUCACGUUUGUUGAACAUUUUCUAUGUGCAAACUAUUAUUCCAGUGAAGGGGAGUACAAUGAUGAACAAGAUUACUAAUAAAUGUAAAAAUGCAAAAACUAUAAAAAA